rnacentral:rRNA from 1 species
UACGAAGGGGGCUAGCGUUGCUCGGAAUUACUGGGCGUAAAGCGCACGUAGGCGGCUUUCUAAGUCGGGGGUGAAAUCCUGGAGCUCAACUCCAGAACUGCCUUCGAUACUGGAGAGCUUGGAGUCCGGGGAGAGGUGAGUGGAACUGCGAGUGUAAGAGGUGAAUUCGGUAGAAUUAUUCGCGAAGAACACCAGUGGCGAAG